AGAGUUUGAUCCUGGCUCAGAUUGAACGCUGGCGGCAUGCCUUACACAUGCAAGUCGAACGGUAACGCGGGGCAACCUGGCGACGAGUGGCGAACGGGUGAGUAAUGCAUCGGAACGUGCCCAGUAGUGGGGGAUAGCCCGGCGAAAGCCGGAUUAAUACCGCAUACGACUUACGGGUGAAAGGGGGGGGAUCGCAAGACCUCUCGCUAUUGGAGCGGCCGAUGUCAGAUUAGGUAGUUGGUGGGGUAAAAGGCCUACCAAGCCUACGAUCUGUAGCUGGUCUGAGAGGACGACCAGCCACACUGGGACUGAGACACGGCCCAGACUCCUACGGGAGGCAGCAGUGGGGAAUUUUGGACAAUGGGCGCAAGCCUGAUCCAGCCAUGCCGCGUGCGGGAAGAAGGCCUUCGGGUUGUAAACCGCUUUUGUCGGGGAAGAAAUCCUCUGAGUUAAUACCUCGGGGGGAUGACGGUACCCGAAGAAUAAGCACCGGCUAACUACGUG
rnacentral:rRNA from 1 species